UAUCUUCUAACGUAUCUAAAGCUCAAGAAAACAAGUAUAGAUUAUAUAAAAUAGUGAACUCAUUUUUUGGUCAAAUAGUAUCCCAAAAUUACGUGCUUGUCCCUUAUCCUCGCAUUGUAAGGUGCUAUUAAGACAAAUUAAAAGAGGGAGUAGGUAAAGGAGUUGGCUAGACCAUUGAUUUUAAAGUCCUCAACCGUUGCCAUAUCUCCAUGUAACAAGUAAUCCCAUUAUUAGCUUGAAUAUAAGUCCUAAGUGAGACUAAUCGAAAGUUUUUUAAUUAAAAAAAAAAAAGGACUACAAUCUUAUACCCAAAAAAGAACAGAUUCGCAAUAUAGAGAUCAAGGGAGAAACUAGCAAAGUAAAGAUUAAAGUAGCAUAAUGGGUAGUCCCCACCGAUAUCCCAUAAGGAUGAAUUUAUGGUUUUCCGCCGUGAGAUUCGACAAUAGGAUAGCACAAAUAACGAUGACUCCAUGUGGUGCUACGCGGUCGUUCAGUCUUAAAAGUAAAACUUUCGGCUUCCGUGUUCAUGCAAAAACAAAGAAAGAGCAGAAGAGUUAGAGAAGAACAUAUGCUUUUUAACAGACAUGAAAGUCAGAUAGGAAAUAUUGAUCUUUCCAACUUGUAUUAAAAUAAAUAUGCUCACAUGCCAUGGUGACCAAAAUAUGAAGAAUCAACUCCUACUAAUAGAAAAUAGCUUCUUAAGUAAUAUUUCAAGUUAAGAUAUAAUUUAUCUUCUAUUGAGUAUUAUCCUAAAGUGUCUAAAUUAAAUGGGCAGACAAGGAUAUAUUCUACAGUUUCUAAGGCCACUUUUAGAUUAUUAACCGAAGGAUGUUAACAACAAAAAAGACUUGCAAGUUCUCAUCAGUAGCAUUCACUUCGUUAGCAAGAGUCUAUUUCAAAUGAGAUAUCAAAUUCUAUUGUUGUGGUUUCUUAGUGUUAAAAAAGGGUUGCAGAAAACUUGUUACUGGUGUAUCUACAUAGAAAAAGAAACAGAAAGCUAACACAUACCCACAACUAGCCAACGCCAUACUUUGAACAAAGUUUGUAAAAGAAAGCUAAUGGCAUGGUAUUUCAGUUAUCAAAAGUAAAAAAAUGUAGAGUCAUGUAAUUUGUUAUUUAGAGAUACAAUAGAUCACCUUAAAUAUCUUAACAGAUUAUACCCUUUUUAUAUCCGUUAUCUAAACAAGUGAAACAGUGGUCAGCUCCUAUUAGUACUACUGACAGCAAAAACCAAAAUCAUAGAGAAGUACUUAAACUAAGCAUGAAUAUUAUUGUUGCCCACUGUCGUCAUCUCUAUAAUUACCAAAAUAACCCACAGGCUAUGCUUUCUACCAUUAUUUUUACACUUCAAGAAUAUAGUUUUAAAAGUAUUUUAGAACAAGAUGGUUGUUAAGACAUGAAAUCCUAAAGAACAUGGUUUAUAUUACAUUUGAACAACGUCACUUCUUGUUGGGAACUGAUUCAAUUACUCUUUUAAGUUUAUUGGCUGGAUGAAGUUAUUUACUGUGAGUUGAAUAAGUCUUUUACUAGAGUUUACAGAGUCUUUAGGUUAGUUGCUAUUUUUUCUAAUUUGGUUGCUGUUUUUCUGGUCAUUUCCUAGAUUUUAGUUAAGUGGGUGUUAUGGAUAGAUAUUAUCUUUCCGAGCUUGUAAGCCUAUAAAAGGCACACCACUUUCCGUUAAUAAAAUAAGUCCUUCUACAUAAUAUCUCUUUUAGCUUCCCUGCAUCUUUAAGUUUUCUAGUUAAAGACAAUCUCUUUUUCUACACUUCUUUGAAUAGUCAAGAAAACAAUAGCAAAUAGCAUGGUUUGAUCAAUAAAGUUUUAACACAGCCAACUUGAAUACAACAUAACUUAAAACGUUGAUUCUUCACAUCACUUUAGUAUAAAAAAAAUAUCAUCUGUACAUUACACUACAACAGAUAAAACAUAAACCUAAGACAUGUUUUUUCUAAGCAAAUACAAUUUCCUUAAGGGAAAGAUCAGAACUAAAAAAAAGUUAGAUUUUACCUGUUGUAGGGCAGUGAACUAGGACGAUGUUGGCCUCGAAUCUACUCUCUCAUUAUGGAAAAGAUUCGAACCUCGAUCGGAAUGGUUCCAAAAUCUCUGUCACGGCUAAAGUUCACCGAGACAGAAAAGAAAAGUUUUGUAAGAGAGUCUUGAGUUAUUUGAGACUAUAUCAAAUGUGAUAGUGAUAAUGUAGUGUUCAAGAGGUGGCUAAUUCUUAUGUCUAGUCUAGGCGGCUAAAAAACCCCUCCUAAAUGGGUUCUAACAGGACAUAUUUAUAGUAGAAGAACUAGGGUCACAAAUUUUGAGCAGGAAUUUGAAAUCAAGGGUUUGAAUUAUAGUCAAAAUACCCGUUUGAAUCGGAACGUUGCGAUUCGGACAAGCCCUCAUGUGAUUUGGUCAAACAACUCGUGAUUCGCCUCAGGCCUUGCCCGAAAUUGUAAUAUUUGGUCUUACUUUUGAAGAUUCACGGGUUGUAAGACACCAAAAUACCUAGCCUGAUUAUAGAGCGACGAGAUUGCACGAAAUAGGGCGGAUACUAUAUGUUCGAGGCUGAUAAAGACCAAUUCUUUAGCCACAAAUAAACUUGGAGACAGAAUAGAAAUCUGCCAUGGAAGAGGGGGGACUGUGCGCUGGAGAGAGAGAGAGGGGGAGAGAAAGACUUAUUUUGUUCAAUGUGUAUUUUGGGUUUCAGUUGAUGCCUGAAAUUUGGGCUAAGAUUGAUUAAUUCUAGUGGGUUCAUCCGCUGGAAAAUAGGUGAGAAAACUACCAUGUAUAACCCUUCAAAAUUUUAUUAGCCCAUAUUUUUUCACAUGGACCCAAAAUAGCCUUUAGGCCCAAUGUAUUAACAAGUUAUAGUCACUAUUUCCAAUACAUUUUCACUCUCUUUCAACCGCCUGCUUCUCCUCUCUUUUUUCAUCUUCUCCGAUCUUCAAUCUUCCAUCUUUUCCUUUCUUCUUAUCUUUCCCUUCUUCACUCCCUCCUUUUUUUUCUUUUUUCUUUUCCUAGUGGGUUCAUCCGCGGGAAAAUAGGUUGGUUAAGUUAGAUGUGUUUGGGCUAUAAAAUAGCUCAGAAUAGAUGGCAUUUCCUUUCUUCCUCUGUAUAUUUCUUUUAAGCUUCUAAUUUGGAUUAUAUAAUUUUAAUGAUCACUAGUAGUAGUAGUAGUAGUAGUAGUAGUUAAUGGAAAAUAGUAUUGAAAAAAAUAAGUAUUUGAUGUAUUAAUAACUUUGAAGCUCAAAGAAAUUAAUUGGAAGAAAGGAAGGACAAAAUUGGAUGUCAACAAGGAUACUUUGUUUCGGCCUCGCCUAGAGUUCUACUGAUAUAGUAAAUAGAAAAUUGCGUACCUUCCUCGUCCUAUGAUGACCCAAUUGGUCAUCUUAUAAUUUAAAAUCAUAUUCCGUAUUUUGAGGACCUUAAAACCUUAUUUUAUCCCUCCUCGAUUUGUGUGCGCAGUCCGGGCAUGUUUCCGAAAAGCUUUUAUGUUGAAGGUUGAUGAAAAUAAUAAUUUUUGCCUUUAAAAGUUGAUUUAGUUGACUUCGAUCAAAACGGGCUCGGAUUCGUAUUUUGACAGUCCUGGUGGGUCAGUAUCAAAAUAUGGGACCUGGGUGUAUGCCUGAAAUUGAAUUCGGAGGUCCCUAGCCCGAGUUAUGAUUUUUUGUUAAAAAUUGUAAGUCUGAAAAUUUAAUGAUUUUUAAGAAAUUGUCAAUGUUUGAUCUUGUUGGUAUCAGGUCCGUAUUUUGGUUCUAGAUUCCAGUAUAGGUUCAAUAUAAUAUUUAAGUCAUGUCUGUGAAAUUUGGUGAGAAACGAAGUUCGUUUGACGUGAUUCGGACGUCCGGUGGAGAAAAUAGAAAUUUCAAAGUUUUCUUGAGAAUUUCAUUUGAUUUGAUGCUAAAUUCGUAGUUCUAGGUGUUAUUUGGCGAUUGGAUCGCGCGAGCAAGUUCGUAUGAUGUUUUAAGACUUGUGUGCAUAUUUGGUUUGGAGCCUCGAGGGCUCGGGUGAGUUUUGGAUAGGCUACGGAAUGAAGUUGGACUUAAACAUUGCUGAUAUUUGCAACUUCUGGGAACUGGCCUUAGAUCUCGCAUUUGUAAGACCAGGGUUUGCAUUUACGAGCUACUCAUCGCAAAUGUGAAGAGUAGAUGGGCCAGGCAGUCCUCGCAUUUGCAAGAAAAUCUUCGUAUUUGCAAAGUUGAUCUGGGGAAGGGGUUCUUCGCAUUUGCGAAGAAGGUGGUCGCAAUUGCGAUCCCAGUUUCGCAUUUGCGAACAAUAUGUUCGCAUUUGCGACAGAAGCAGAAAUGCGACAAGUUCGCAUUUGUGAUGCCUUUCUCGCAUUUGCGAGCUUCGCAAUUGUGAAGCUCAGGUCGCAAAUGAGACAUCAACAAUUGUUAAAAGGGACUUAGACAGGAUUUUUCAUUAAUUCUUUAAAUUUUCAAAAUCUAAGAGGUGAUUUACCGAAGACCAUUUCUUCCCCAAAUCAUAUGUAAGUGAUUCUAAACUAGUUUCUUUCAAUCUUUCACUUCAUUUUACAAGAUUUCAACCUAGAAUCUAAGAUUUUCAUGGAAAAAUUGGGGAUUUUUGGGUAGAAACUAGGGAUUUCGAAAUUUGGGGAUUUAUACCUCAAAUUGAGGUCGUAUUCCAAAACCAAUUAUAUAUCCAGGCUCGAGGGUGAAUGAAUAAUCGGGUUUUGGUCCGAAUUUUGGAUUUGGACCAAGCGGGCCCGGGUGUUGACUUUUGUUCCCUUUUUCAAAAGUGACCUAAAUUGAAUUCCUUACAAUUGUGGGUAGUUCCUAAGGCUUAAAUUGAAUUGUUUGGUUGGUAAUUUGCUAGGUUCUAUUGAUCCGAAGGCUUGUAAGAAGGAAAAAUCGGUGAUUGAGCUUUAAAUUUGGUCGUUGGAGUGAGGUAAGUGUCGUGGUUAACCUUGGCUUGAGGGAUUAGGUAUUAUUUUCCAACUACCUACGUGUUUGGAUGCUGAGUACAACGUAUAGGUGAGGUGACGAGUACCUAUGCGUUGUUGCCGAGUUAUGGCAUGUGAGUGAGUCUUAUUCUUAUAAAUGUUGUAUUCUUUGAUCACAUUGUUCAUGUUUAGACUAGCUAUUCGAUGUGUUGAGCAAUUUCUUAUCAUGUUUUACUGAAUUUGGUAUUGAUAGAGUAUUGCCUCAAAGUUGAGGUUGGUAUUGUAGAACUAAGUGUUGAAGUAAGAUUUGUUCUUGAUAUUCCUAUCUCCCCAUGUUCAUUGUUUUGGUGAGGGAGAGUGUUAAAGCACGAAGGGUCAUGCCGUGCAAUAUUUUGUGAGUGGGUGAUAAAUCACGAAGGAUGGUGUCGUGCACGUUUUUAUUAUUUAUUAUGGUGAGGUUGAGUGUAAAAUCACGAAGGGUGAUGUCGUGCAUAUUUCUAUUAUUUUAUCUGGUGAGGUUGAGAGUAAAAGCACGAAGGGUGAUGUCAUGCACUUUCUUUUACUAUGUUUAUCCAUUUCUAUCUGUUUAAGGUAUAUUGAUUGUCCAUGUUCUUAGUUCCGUUGUAAUUCUUUGUCUUGUAAUCCCCUCAGCAUGCCCCCUUACCAAUACUUCGUGCCUUAUUUAUUUAGUUGUUGUUAUUAGUGUAUAUGUAUUGAUAAACUGCACAGGUUUGUUUGGGAGUGUCUUGUCCUAGCCUCGUCACUACUUUGUCGAGGUUAGACUCGACACUUACCAGUACAUGGGGUCAGUUGUAUUGAUACUGCACUCUGCACUUUUUGUGCAGAUUUCAGUACUAGAACAUAUUGACCCGAGUUGAGCUGCUGACUUCAAACCCACAUGAGACCCAAGGUAGAUCUGUCGGCAUUCGCAGACCCUGGAGUCCCUUUCAGUUAUUUCAGUUUACUGUUUCUUUUAGCUCAAAAACAAUUGUACGUUUUUUCAGCCAGUAUUUGUAGUGACUCUUAGAAGUUCGUGAAUUGUGACACCAGAUUCUGGGUAGUUGUGUAUAAUUAUUUGGGUUAUUAUAAAAUUCUGCACUCUUUUAAUCUGUUAUGGUUUAAUUGUUGUUAUUUACUGGAUUGUUUAAGAGUUAGUGUAUUAAUCUCUAAUUGUUGGCUUGCCUAGCAACUGAAAGGUUAGGCGUCAUCACGGUCCCGACGAUGGAAAAUUCGGGUCGUGACACUUCCCUAUCUAAGACACCACUUACCGCCACCUGAGAAAUCGCCAAUUAAAGGCAUAUCUGUUCGUCCGACUUCGGAGUAUGUAGUAGGGGCGGACUUGAUAGGUAUCAUUUGAGUUCUUCCAAAGCUUGUUGGCAUUCCGGGGUCCAGGAAAAAUUAUUCUUCUUCUUCAACAGUGAGAAGAACUGAUAGCUUUUGUCUUAAGACCUCGAUAUGAACCGGCCAGGGCGCUACCCGCCCGGUCGGCCUCUGAACUUCCUUGACAUUGUCUACUACGGUGAUGUCUUCUAUGACUUUGAUUUUUUCGGGAUUGAUCUCGAUCCCCCGAUUGGAUACUAUGAACCCAAAGAAUUUUCCCAAUGGACCCUGAAUGCUCACUUCUUUGGGUUCAGCUUCAUAUUGAAUUUCUUCAAUAUGUCAAAGGCUUCCUGUAAAUGUUUCAAAUGGUCCUCUGCUAGCAGGGACUUGACUAACAUGUCAUCAAUAUAAACUUCUAUUGAUUUUCAUAUUGUUCUUCGAACAUCCGAUUUACUAUGCAUUGAUAGGUGGCACCAACGUUCUUUAAUUCGAAUGGCACUACAUUAUAACAAUAGGUGCCGAAUUUAGUGAUAAAAGAAGUCUUUUUUUGGUCAUCCGGGUCCAGCUGAAUUUGGUUGUACCCAGAAUAGGCAUCGAGAAAGCUGAGUAUCACGUGCCCGGCCGUCGCGUCGAUCAUUUGAUCGAUGUUAGGCUAAGGAAAAGAAUCCUUAGGGCAUGCCUUGUUCAGAUCUUUAUAAUCUACACACAUUCUUAGCUUAUUUCCUUUUUAGGUACUACCACUACGUUAGUUAACCAAUCUGGGUACUUAACUUCCCGAAUGGACCCUAUUUUAUGGAGCUUAGAUACCUCAUCCUUGAUGAAUACAUGUUUUACCUCGGAUUGAGGUCUCCUCUUCUGUUUAACCGGGUGGAACUUCGGAUCCAAACUAAGCUUAUGAGUGGUUAACUCCAGCAGGAUACCUGUCAUGUCAAGAUGGGACCAAGCAAAACAAGUUAUGUAAGCUUUAAGAAAAUUAAUGUUUUUUUUCGAGCUCAGGGGUUAACCCCGUGCCCAUGUAUACAUACUGAUCCGGUAGGUGUUCGAUCAAUAUAACUUGCUCCGGCUCUUCAACUGUCGAUUUGGUGGCAUCGGUAUUAUCAGGAGCUACAAAUGACCUCGGAAUUCUGUGAUCAUCCUCCUCGUCGACUCUUCGUUCCUCUGGUCCAGCCGGGACCGGCAUCGGUGGUUGCUAUUUAACUUAGGCCUUUAUGGUCGGCUCAGUGUUCCUUAAUGUCAAGACGGCAGGCAUCGGGAGUACUUUAUCGACUACGAACAUCUCCUUUGCAGCCAGUUGUUCUCCGUAUACCGUCUUGAUUCCUCCUGGUGUAGGGAACUUCAAUGUCUGGUGUAAGUUCGAAGGCACCGCCCUCACGUUGUGAACCCGUGGUCUUUUGAAUAGAUCAUUAUAUCUCAUGUCCCCUUCCAUCACAUAGAACUUUGUUUCUUGGAUGGUCCCGGCAAUGUUCACUGGUAGGGUUAUCACCCCUUUGGUGGUUUCUUAUGCCAUGUUAAAUCCGUUCAGCACUCGGACUACUGGCACUAUUUGAUCCUGUAACCCCAAUUGCUCUACGACGCUUGAUCUGAUGAUAUUAGCUGAGUUACCUAGAUCAAUCAACACACGUUUUACUCGAGAUUUAUUGAUAAGUACAGAUAUUACGAGUGCAUCAUUAUGAGGUAGUACGAUUCCUUUGGCGUCCUCGUCACUGAACGAAAUGAUUCCCUUCGGGAUAUAAUCUCGUGUGCAUUUCUCCCUUGUGAUAGAUACUUUAGUGUGUUUUAUCAUCGGCCCUUGAGGGACAUCGACCCUUCCAAUGAUCAUAUUGAUGACGUUUUGAGGUUCCUUUUGUUUGGUCUGUUUGUUGGUAUCCCUAUUUCUAAAGUGGUUAUUGGAUCGAUCACUCAAAUAUUCUCAUAGGUGCCCGUUAUUAAACAACCGGGAAACUUCUUCUCUCAAUUUCCAGUAAUCUUCGUUCCUGUGGCCAUGAGUGCCAUGAUAUUUAUACAUCAAGUUAGGAUCUCUCUAGGUAGGGUCGGACUGCAACAGUCGAGGUCACUUAGUUUCCUUGAUGCACCCAAUGGAUGAUACGAUACUGGCAGCAUCGACGUUAAAGUUAUAUUCCGAUAAUCUUGGUGCCUCCCUGGCCUCGAGCGGCUGGUCGAAACCAUUAUUGCUCAUCAGACCUCGACUAUUGGGCCCUCGAUCACUUCUCUUUUCGUUCCUCGUAAGGUGACGCCCAGACCCGUUUCCCCUUCGAUCUUCAUUAUGUGGUUGAUACCAGUCUCGAAUCAAUCUUGGUUCAUAAUCGACGACUCUCUUAGACCUAUCAUUGGUUCUAACAGGAUAAACGGACCCAGAGAGGGCUCUGAGUUGGUCUUCCUCGACUCUAAUUUUUGACUGGUACAUGUUGUGGACAUCAUCCCAAGUUACAGUCGGGUAUUCUACUAAAUUUUGUUUUAGCUCCUAUGAAGCUAAGGAACUUCGGGGGUUAAAUUCUUGAGUAAAUGCCUGAACAGCCCAAUCAUCCACAACCGGAGGAAGAUCCAUCUGUUCCAUUUGAAAUCUUGAUACGAACUCCCUAAGCAUAUCAUUUUCCCUUUUCUUAACCUUGAAAAGGUCCGAUUUCUUGGUCUCGACCUUGAUGGCGCCGUCAUGAGCCUUCACAAAGGCAUCUACAAGCAUAGCAUAUGAAUCAAUAGAAUUUGGGGGUAAGUUGUGAUACCAUAUCAUUGCUUUUUUUGAUAGAGUUUCCCCGAACUUCUUUUGCAAUACCGACUCGAUUUCAUCAUCUUCCAAGUCAUUCCCCUUGACAACACAUGUAUAGGAGGUCACAUGCUCGUUUGGAUCCGUGGUUCCGUUGUACUUUAGAAUAUCGGGCAUACGAAACCUCGUCGGGAUCGACUUCGGUGCAAUGCUCGGAGGGAAAGGAUUUUGGAUAAAUUUCUUAGAAUUCGAUCCUUUUAAUAUUAGAGGUGCUCUCGGAAUUUGAUCGACCCUAGAGUUAUAUGUCUCUGCCUUUUGGUCGUUAGCCUCAAUUUUCUUCUCACCUGAUUCCACCUAUUUCGUCAAUGUUUCAAGCAUUUUUAUUAUCUCGGGGUUGGCCCCAGGCUCAGCUUCAUCUGACCUCUCGGUGGUUUGCUCGUUUCUUCGGGUAUUCUCCCAGGAUUGUUCGGGCUCAACCCUACCGGGAGGGUGGCCCUAAUUCUGUAGUUGUGCUAUCGCCACCUGUUGAUCUUGCAGCAUUUUGAAGAUUAGCUGCAUGCUUAUCCCAUCACCUUCGCCUUCGGGCGUUUCUCGAACUGUUGAUUGAAGGCCUCCACGAAUGUUGUUUUUGAAGUCAGUUGGCAGGUGGGCUUCAAUAGCAACCUGUUAAUUGGCAUGGAUUAGAUCGGCAGUUGGGGCUCCGUUAGGGUUAGUAGGGGACACCUCAUUGCUAGGCACCAGGUUGUUAUUUUCACCAUGAUGGCCAGACACAGCCUCAACGUUCAAGUGAGCAGACUGAGAAUUUGACAUUUUUUAGCUGACCUGAAAUUGAAACUUUAAAGAACAAGCGUAAAAUAAAGUGUGUUAUGGAAAUUUGUAUCAAACCACCACUAUUAUCCUUAUCCCUAUGGUGGGCACCAAACUGUUUACCCUUAAAAUAAAUAAUAAUUGAAUUUAUACACAAUUUUAAAGAUAUGCGGAUUGAACAAAUGACCAAGAAUGUUAGAUAGAUGAGUUAAAGACACAAUGAAUAAUCAAACCAGUCGUGCGUAAUGGCCUAGCUUGAAUUUGGACUGGACAAUGGUUUCUUCCAUCGGUUGGGUCUUGGGUUCAAAGCCAAUCAAGAAUAAAGAACAAAAUUAAAGUAAAGACUUUGCAGUAGCUAGAAAGCAGAGAAAUAACUUUGUAUUUCCUUGGUAUGCGUGUUACAAUAUAUCUCAUUGAAAUAAAAAAUUUCCCUUUAUAUAGUAGGAGAGUUUUACCCCUAGUACAAGUCUAAAAAAGAUAAAAAUCUUCCUUUCUCAUUAAUUAUGGAUCUGUUACCGACAUCGGGCAAGAUCUGCACUGUGAUAUCCGGUCGGAUGCGGAUAUCAUGGCUCUCUGUUAGCCGUGUGCAAUCGUUCAUGCGCUUUCCGAAGUAUCAGAACCCCUCUAGGAUCCGGGGUGCAUCGUUUUAUCUAGUCCGAUGGCGGGCAUUUUGUUCGGGCCUUGGUACAAGAAGUUCUUAGCUUUGAUUCUGAUACUGUAUAAUCAUAUCCUUUCUUUGUUUGACCCUCCGGAAAAUCGGGGUAUAUGUUACCCCCGGUUUCACCCGAAUACAGAGACCACUCUUUCCUUGUGAUCAUUUUGCACCGGAUAGAGUCAGCGCCUAACUGAAUUAUGUAUUGAAGUAAUUUGUAAGAACAACUUCAUAAAAGGACUAACCUAUUAAUGAAAAAUAUUUUAAAUGAACUUUAACUAGAUUUAAUAAGUUAUGUCACACAUGACAUACUUAAGUUAUAGGUCAAGAAAAUAAAAUAUUGUAUAUAACAGAAAAAUAUAGAGGAAGAAAUUGCAAAAUAUCAAGGGUAAAAUAGGCAUUGCGCAGAGUAUGAGGGUAAAAAGUUUUUAGUAUUAAUUUGUGUUGAUGAAAUAUUUUAAAAUAUGUCAUAUUUGAAUUAUUUGAGGAAAGUUUUGAUUUCCUCAGAUACUAACAUUUUUCAGUCAUCUUUUAGAUUAAUAUUUUGUUUAAUUUUGGUAAUAAAUGUGAAUAUUACCAUAACAAUCCAAAUGCUUUACAUCCUAAGAGCAUCAAGUGUACUAGCUAGCUCUUCCAGUACAACAAGACCUCAAAAAAAUAGAAUCUUCUAAGUACAAAAUGCCAUCUACUUUAGAAGAAAGAAAUAAAAUCAAUCAACAGAGUACAACCUAACUACAUAAUCUUUGUACCAACAAUGGACAUUGUUUGGCUUUUUUAGACUCUGCAUACAUACUCAUUCUAUCAACAAGCUCCUUCUUAAUUUGCCCAACACAGAAUUUCAAGUUCAAGUUAAUUUGUUUAAAAAUUCUGCAGUUUCUCGCUUACCAAGUAUGAUAUACAAUUGCUCCUAUGAUUGUUGUUGCAACUUCCUUUCUGAAUUGCUUCCAAUUCCUCUUUCUAAUCCACUGUAUCAUCUCUGGUAUUGCCAUAUUUAGUAGUCUGAUGUCUGCCCAACUAGUCAGUGAAUCUCUCAUAUUUUUUACCUAACAACAGUCCCCAAAGAGAUGUUGUUGUGUCUCUAAUACUCCCAUAGUACACAUGCAACACUCUGCAUCUCCUAUGAUAGGGAUGUGUAAUUGUACUAGUCUUCCCUUUGUUUGUAUUUUUUGUUGAUACGCCAGCCAUAAUACAAAUCUAUGCCUUGGUAACAUCAUCCAGUUCCAUACCAAAUCCAUUUCCCAACAUCUUAACAUAUGCCGUAUCAUUACAUUAUAACUACUAGAGAUAGAAUAACUUCCAUUGCUAGUCAGCCUGUAUGUAUUUCCAUUGUACCAUUGUAUCAUGUUAUGUUUUAAGCCAUUAAUUUUUUUCCAAUACCAACUGCAAUCAGAGGGUGGAUUGUGAUCCCAAAUGUUCCUGCACGACUUCAUAUACACACUAUGUACCCAUCUCACCCGCAAUACUUCCUUGUUUGUCACUAAUUGCCAUAACAGUUUGCCUACAGAUGCUAUAUUCCAAUUUUUACAUCCCUUAAUAUUUAGACCUCCAUAUUUCUUUAGUCUACAUAGUACAUCCCAUGACACCAAUGCCAUCUUUCUAUGCCCUUCUGUACUGACCCAUAAGUACUCCCUACAUUUCUUGUCUACUGCUUUAAUAACACUUUGAGGGAGUAUAAAGACAUCCCCCAGAAGUUGUAUAUUGCAAACAACACUGAAUUAAUAACUUGCAGUCUACCUGUAUAUGAUAACUGUUUUGCAUAACCUGACUGAAUGUUUAUUGUAAUCUUCUCCACUAGCUGAUGAUAUUCUACUUUGCUCCACUUCUUUGAUGUUAAAGGCAUCCCCAGGUAUCUCAUAGGCAAUGUACACUGAUAACCCUGUAUCCCUCACAAUAACCUGUUUAGUAGCCUCAUCCAUCCCUGCUAAGAAUAUGUUUGAUUUCUCCAUAUUAGCUACCAUUCCUGACACUUCACUGAAAUGGUUCACUACUUCCAUUAUUCUAUGGAUAGACUGAAUGUUACCUUUGCAAAAUAACAUCAAAUCAUCUGCAAUUAUUAGGUGUGUCAGUUUGGUAUUCUUGCACAUGGGGUGAAAUUGAAAGUCUGGAAGCUCACUCAUUUUAUUCAAUCCCCUAGAUAGGUACUCUAUAACCAGAACAAACAAUAAUAGAGACAUAGGAUCUCCCUGUUUCAACCCUCCCUUUCCUUCAAAAUAACCAUACCCUGCACCAUUCACUUUUAUUGUGAAUGUAAUUGUUGUAACACACAUCAUAAUCAGUUGGAUGAAAGGCAUUGGAAAGCCAUAACCUUUAAGAACAUCCUCCAGGAAUUCCCAUCUAACCAUAUUGUAUGCUUUCUUUAGGUCAAUCUUCAUCAAACAUCUUGGAGUAGUCUUCCUGUUAUAAUGCCUCAAUAGAUCAUGGCAUAUAAGUACAUUAUGAAUAAGUGACCUUCCUUCUAUAAAUGCUGCUUGAUUGUCAGCUACAAUCAUAGGGAUAGCUUUCCUUAGUCUCUUACAAAUGAUCUUAGAAAUAUAUUUGUAGAUAACAUUACAGCAUGAAAUAGGCCUGAAUUGGCUAGCCUGCAAGGGAUUCUUCACUUUUGGUAUAAGAGUUAUACUAGUUGAGUUUAUCUGGGAAAGUAUUUGCCCAUUCUCAAGAAAUUCUAACACUUCUUUGGUCACCUCCUCUCCAAUAAUUGACCAAGAUGCUUUAUAAAAUCCACUUUCAUAGCCAUCUGGACUUGGACUUUUAGUUUCAUUAAUAUUGAACAUAGCAAUCUUCACUUUUGGAGCUGUGUAUGGUCUUACCAACUGCAUUUGUUGAGCAGUUGACAGUACUUUCCCAUUCUUCAUAAAACCCUUAAUUGCAUGAUCUCUGAACCUUCCCUUUAUUCCCAAUAGUUCUUGAUAAUACUCCGCAAAUAUCCCUGUUAUCUCAUCCUGAUCAAAUUUCAGGCAUCCAACCUUAUUAGUUAGUUGGAUAAUGGCUUCUUGCAAUCUUUUGUGCUUUAUCACUAAAAAAAAUAUCUAUUGUUAUCAUCUCCCAACUUGAUCCAAGUAGCUUUGCUCCUCUGUUGAAGGAAUACUUCUGCCAAAUAAGAAGAUCUCUUGAAUUUUGAAAACUUCUGCAAUUCUUCUACUUGCAACCCAAUAUCCAGUGGAUUUCUAUAAAGCUCUGCUUGAGCUGAAGCCAAAGCCAUUCUGUCUGCAUCAGCUUCUUCAAUGAUAUUGCUGAAGUAUCUUCUAUUUAGCACCUUUAGUUUGUGCUUUAACAUUUUUAGUUUCUUAACCACUUUGAAUAUACUGCAACCAACUACAUUCUAUCCCCAACCCUCUUUAACUAUAUCUAAAAAAUUGGGAUGAGUAGCCCAAACAUUACUGAAUUUAAAAGAAGUUUUAGCCCUCCUAGGUGAGUUAGUACUUGAUAGCUUGAGUGGACAGUGAUCACUUAUCCCCUCCUCUAAAUAGUGAGCCAUAUAUACUAGCAUUGAAUUGAGCCAUGAUGUAUUGAUGAAUACCCAGUCAAUCUUUGAUAAGAUCCUAUCAUCUCCAUGCCUGUCAUUCCAAGUAUACCUGCUCCCACUAGUUGGUAAUUCAAUCAGCUCACAUUGUUCUAUACACCGAUGAAACUCUGCUAUUUCAGCCAGAGUUAUAGGAUUACCUCCCACUCUAUCUUCAGUAUGCAGCAUAGAGUUAAAGUCUCCCAUAACUAUCCAUAGACCCCCCAUAUUCUUGCUCACAGUGUCUAAGUAGCUCCAGAGAUUUCUUCUUCGUUCCUUCGUGUAUAAGCAUAGACUAUAGUCAUCAUAAAUAUGAUCUGCAACCUAUUAUGAGUCACCACACAUAUUACUAUUUGAUUAGUCAUAGACCUCAGAAUGAUGUUAAAACAUUCUUGUCUCCAUGCCAGCCAAAUUCUACCAUUAUAAUGUUCCCUCAAAUUUGUUAUACUCCCCCAUCCACCAAAUAGCUUAUUAGCCACUUGAUUAAUUUUCUCCGACUUUAUUUUUGUUUCCAACAUACCUAUCAACCCUAUCUCUUCUUUGUUACAAAGGAGUUUCACUCCUUUUGUUUGUUAGGGGCAUUCAUACCCCUAACAUUCCAACAUAAAAUGUUAUCCAUUACCCCUAGUAGGAGAUGUUUUCCCUCCCACAUUCCUCUCCACUUUACUGAUAUUACUAUCAGUUACAACAAUAUCGUCUAUCUCCAACACCUGAAAGUUGUUAUGAUAACUCCUAUCUCCAACUCUCUUCCCUUGUUGUACUUGUCUACCAGUUGUUCUUGUUACAUUACUAGGUGUUAUCCAACCUGCAUUGUCCUGUCUAUCCUGCAUCUUUUGCUUUCCAUUCUCAAUUAUGUUCCCUUGCUUGUUUCUGAUUUCUUCCCCUUCCUUGUUAUCAUUUGAUUGAGUCACAUGAUCUGUUACUCUUUCAUCCUUUUUUCCACUAACUUCCUCUGUUGGUUUAGGCGUUGCAGCUUGAUUCUUUGCUUUACAAACUUGUUCAUCAUGGCCAUAUUUACUGCAUGCUUUACACAAAGUUGGAUUCCAAUCAUAUUGCAUUUUCUACUCCAUUAGUAACCCUCGUUCAUUCUUAAAAAAUACCUUAUCUGGCAGUUUGGUAUCCAUAUACACUUCAAUUAGGAGACGUGCAAACCUCAGCCACAUCUUCUUCUCAAUGUGACUGUACUGUCUACCAUCAAUGGUUGACCUAUUAAACUUCCAAUCUUGCUUAACCCUUUAGGACUCCAGUACUUGAAAUCCAACCCAUGCAGUUUAACCUAUAUAGGAACAGUAUACAAUUCCUCUUUAGUGAAUUCUAUGUCUAUAUGCCAAGCUUUUACAAUGACUGGCUUGUUAUCAAAGUGGUAUAUACCACCUUGUAGAACCUCAUUCUUUCCUAUGAUUAAAUCAAAUCGCACUAUUACUAUCACAUUUUUUAACAUGGAUACCUUGUUUAUGCCAUGUUUACCCCAUAUUCUACGAACAUACGCAUUAAGCACCGUGAACAGAGGGUGAGCUCCCAAAACAUAGCACACUAUUGUUGUUUUCCAGUAUUCAAUUUCAGAACUUAUGUCCUCAGUCUCAAUUUCACAAACAAGUGCCUCGUCAUGCAUCUCAGGCUCUACAAAUUCAAGUUUAAAGCCAACAUUAGUUACUUUUGUUAUAUCAAAAUUGUCUCAAAUUGAACCCCUUGCGUUCGAUUCUGGUGGACCUUCUGCUUCAUCUGCCCACGAAAAUUUCCCGCUCCCAGCUCUAGAGUUUAACAGCUUUGGCGAUGUCAUCGAUGAACCUUCUCCCAAUUCCCUAGCCAUCGUACCAAAUUGACUUACAAUUGGUGAAAUUUCACUCUCUAGCUCAUCAAUUUCCUCUUGUUCGAUCAGAUCAUCCUUGCAUGGAACUAUUCCAUUGACUUCUUCCUCAAGCUGGUUUCCUGGAUUUUGAACUUCUUUCAACUUAUCGUCCUUCUUCCUUUGCUGAAAUGCAAUGGUUUCUCGUGCCAAAAUCACCUUCUGCGAGGGAUUCCGAGCUCUCUUCCCCAUGGUGGCGCACGUUAUGCUAACAUGCGCUGAGAGAGAAAACCAGAGAGAAGGCUUUUUACUAAAAAUGUUAUUAUUUUGUUUAAUUAAAAUGUAUCUUUAACAAGUUUUAAUUCAAAAGGUGAGGGUUAAGUUUUAAAAUGUGUUGUUGGUAAGGGUUUAUUCUGAUAAUUCCAAUAAACUUGUAGGGCUGUUAGAAAUACAUUUUUCCUCUCCAAAAAAACGGAUAUAAUACACAAAAACCAAAACUCUCAUCUCUUCUCUCUUCUUUCUAAAAUUUACGAUCUUGUUUCUGGAGAAAAAUGAAAUUUAUUGCUGAAACUAGAAUUUCAGUUAGGCAUUGUGAAAUUUUGGAUGAUUUCUGUCAAUAAUUUCAGCAACAAGAAAGUGGGAAGACUAAAUUCCUUAAGAACAAGAAUUGUUUUAUCAAAGCCGAUUUCUGUUGCCUCACUUUAUUUUACGAAUAAAAAGUUUAUUUGUUCAUAGUUGAAGAGAAUUUGAUUCUCUCUCCAUUUAUGUAUUGUGAAUACUUGAAUUGCAGCGGUUGUAAUCAUGAAGGAUGUAAUUUUGAGGGACGGGAUUAUCGUGCCGUAGUUAUUAGCCGGAACAAGAGUUUGUGGUCGUGAGUUUUGACAAGGGUGAGCGUAUAGUUCAUGGUUUUUAACUUUUUAUUCUUCUUAAUUGCAGUGCUUGUCGUCAUCUUAUAUAAUAUUUUAAUUUUUUAAAAAUUGUGGUAUUCGGACGCGCAUUUCGACCGUAGCCAGACACACCUUAUAAUGUGAGUUUCGUUGGAAAAUUUUAAUAAAUAUGAAAAAAACAAAUAUUAAUAAAAGGAAUAUAAAUGACAUUGCUGGAUAGUAACAGCUUGAUGGUCCACUGGCGAACAGGCGAAGUGCCUUAUUUCUUUAGAUAGAAGAGUUUGAGGAUUCAAACCUUAGUAACUGAAUUUCAUUUAAACUGUUCAAAAAUAGGUUUCAACGAGAUUUGAAGUUUGAAUCCAUGACCCCUUACCCAUCAAAUGCUAAAUCAACCAGUGGACCUAGAAUCGAUUUUCAUAAACGAAUCAACAAUUUCAAUCUCUAGAAUGGGAUAUUUAAGCACAGUGUAGCCUAAUUUCGGCACCGAUUAAGAAAAUUCCAGCGACAAAUCUCACGAGGUAUUACUACCUUUCACAAACACAAAUAUCAAGUAACUCGGUCCACCAAGACUUAAAUAAAUAGAACAAGAUUACGUAAUAUUUUUGCCUCCAUUAAAAUUUAAACCUGAAACCUCAUCAUUUUCGACUCACUUCAUUAGCUGACGGUGCACCCUUGGGUGCGUCCUCUUAUAUCAUCUCCAACAACUCUUAUCUUAUGAACUAAUAUUUUGCAUCAAGUGAGAACGACUGUUCAUUAUUUUUUCACAUACAUGUCCUUGUAUUUGGUAAAGUUUGGCAUAUAAAAGUUGGUGUCAUGUAACCAACAAGUCACGGGUUCAAACCAUAGAAACAUCUUCUUGUAAAAAUGUAAGAUGUAAGGUAUACAAUAAAUUUUUGUGGUCCGACACUUCCCCAAAUCUCGCGCAUAGCGGGAGCUUAGUGCAUUGGUCUGCCCCUUUUCACGUCCUUGUAUCAUCAACUUAAAGAAGCCAUAUCAAUAUUUAAAUCUGGUGGUAGAGAAUUAAUGGCGUCGAAAUCCCAUAGAAAAAGGGUAGCAGGCAAAUAACGGCGUCAAAUUGGACAUUCAUCUUUUUGAUUGCAGAAAUGAAUAGUUUCACUGAGUAUGUUGCUUUCUUAUGCAUCUGGCGAGGGAUAGUUUGCCUCUUUGUGACUACUAUAUGGACCUUAGCUCUGUGAAGGUAUGUCCAAUAUCAUAUCUUCCAUUAUCAACUGAAAAUGCAUUAAACUUUCUUUAUUUAAUUUAUAUACGUUAAUAAUGUAAAAAAAUUCAUGCCAUCAAAUGUAAUUUUACUGCCUAUAAUAAAUGAAAUUACAUCUUUUAUAGGCAAGUAUUUUUAAGUGAACUGACAGUGUCUUUAGCAACAAAAAAAAAAGUGUCUUUAUUAUUUUAGUGUAUAUUUAAAAAUAUUAUAUUUUAUAUAGCUCGUUCGAUCAUGUCACCUAUUUUUUUCCUUUCAAGGAUCCAUAGUGGUGCACCACUAAUUCUCAUGUCCUUUUUCCGAAUUCCAGUCUGUGCACCCUCUCCAUAUGGCUAAUGGCCCGUGAGUUUAUAGUAUGACAAUUUCAAUUUGCUUUCAAGGGUAUCCGAAAAAAUACAAUGUUUAAAUCUACAAAUAUUACUUUUUAUUUAUGUACAUAUACUAUAUAUGGACCCCCUUAACUUUUUUGUAUAUUUAACUCUAAAUUUUGACCCCUUAAUAAAAAUCUUAGUUCAUUAUUGCUCACAUUUAAAUGCAGCUUGAAAAAUAGGAUUUCAAAAUGCAGCUCUUGCUUAAAAUAACUUUUUCCCCUGAAAAUCCACUUUUCUCCUGGCUUAGUGGCUUUUGGAUCAUUUGUAAGAAAAGCAAUGUCCAAAAUCAUCUUACUAUGUACCUCAGAGGUCCACCAUGUGAACUGUUCUAUGCUAUUUUUGUAACCAUAAAGAUUUAUAGAUCCUACUUACUGUCGGUAGAGUUAUUAAACACCUAACUUUACUGAUUAACUAAAAUCUUAAACACUAAUCUAUUUAGAGUUCAAUUUCAAAUCAUUAAAGCCGCUCAUCAAGGAAUUUGAAUGAUUGUUUCACAUGUAUCACAUAUACUGACAUACAUACAAAACCAAGAAAAAAAGACUAAAAGGUGAAAGGAAAAACAACAAAAAACCAAAACAAAGGUGCUAAUUCCAUAAAUUAAUAGCCACUAUUAAUCAAACAGGCUGAGAAAACAUCAAAUUUCUUUCAACAUUCUUGCAUCUUUUAACCAACAAAAAUACAACUAACAACAAACCAAUAUAUGUAAUUUCACAAGUGGAGUUUGAUUAGGAUUGUGUAAACAAACUCAGAAAUGGAUCCAGGAUUUAAAUUUAUUUGUAAUUCUAUUAUUCUAUUAAUAAUUUGUACAUAUCUAAUUUAAUGAGUUUCCGAUACACCGCCGCCACAGGAAUAGCAACAAAAGAUAAUGGAAACUAAAUAGUGGACUAAUCAGGAAGUUCAAGCCUAUCUGAAUCUUGCACAACAAUGAAAUUUUACACUUAAAAAGAUAUAAAUCUACAUCACACAGUCAACAAUAAAGUAGUAACAAAUAUAUCAAGAUCUAUUUGUCUUUAAGGUAGGUCUUAAACAUAUCCAUACAAAACAUUAAAAGCUGCAAUUUUACACAUAUUCGGAAACAAAUUAAACUCAAAAGAGGCUAAGAUUUAAAUAUCAGAGAAACACCGGUACCUAAUUGUAGAUUCUCCGGUACAACUUCCGAUCACUUUAGAUACUCUUCUAUCACGCCCAACUACUAUUCGAUUUAUUGUAGCUGCAGUACAAAGACACUCCUUCAAAUCAAAGUGCUGUUCGGAUUCAGAAACAGAGGUUACAGAUUUAACAAGUUCACAGCACAAAUCUUCGGAAACUAAAGGAGAUUCCUCUGUCGGAAAACAAGCAGAAGCAAGAUGCAUAAGUUCAGAUGGUAAACAGUUUAAGACUUUUUUCGCCGGAGUUGUUGUUGUUGUUGCAGCUUGUAGGCUGAAGAAAAAUGAAAGUGCUAAAAGAGAAAUCAAAAGUGAGUUUUUUUGAAAAUCCAUAUUCUUGAAUUUUUGAUGAAACAGAAGAUUUAUGGAAGUAGUAAUGAAAGAGAGUAAAGUCAGCCAACCACCAGUCCAGCUACUUACCCUUUGGGUUUAGGAAAGUAGAAUAUGAGGAAGAAGAGAUGUUUGACAAAAAGGGGGUAGUAAGGAGCGCGGGGAGAGGGGGGGGGGGGGCGGGGAGGUGUAGAUGAGAAAGAUUAUCACUUUUAGUCCUCCGCUUAUAACACUACUCCUAUUUAGUCUCCAAAUUUUAAUGCUAGGCACAUGGGAACUUUUUAAGUUUAUUUAAUAACCUAUUUGGCCGUGCUUCUAAAAUUAAUUUAUGUUGAAAAGUAUUUGUUGUGAGGAGUUUUAUAUUUAACAAAUUAAUUUAAAAAUAUUUUAAAAUAGUAAUUAAUAUUUUCUCAAGCUUUUAAAAAAUAUAUUAAGUAUAUUUUUUUUAAAAAUAUUUUUAAAUUUUUUGGAGAUAAUCUAUUUUUUUUUUGUUUUCUCAAAAAUUAUUUUUGAUUUUAAUUAAAACUAUUUAUUUUAUUAUAAAUUCUUGACCAAACACAUUAAUUUAAAAAGAAAAUACGUUUGAAAAAAAAAAUAGAAGAACACCGGCAAACAUGCUAUUAUGAAAAUUGCAUAAAAUUGAAACUUGUGUACUGGAGUGAAUCGACAAAAUCCAAAGGAGAUAAAAAAUCAUGUUGGUUUUGAUUAAUCGUAUCUUCCUCAAAAUAUCAAAAAACUAUAUCUCUAUGUCAUGCAAAUUUGAAAUUUCAAAUUAACUCCCAAAACUAUCACAUUGAGUAACAUACCGAGAUACAUCAAUAUUAUAGGUUAUACUGAUUCGAAUAACAACAUAGUGGAGAAGAUUGUUACUGUGAUUAGAGAUUGAUUCGAUCUAGGGUGUGUUUGGCAGGAACGAAAAUAUUUUUUAAUAUUUUCAUAUUUAGUUGACUUAAAUAUUUUGGAAAAUAUUUUUCUCAAGAACUCAAUUUUCUUUAAUUGGAUGAAAAUGUUUUCUCUAUCAAAAGAAACGAAAAUAUUUUUCAAAAUCCUUUUUCAUCUUACUCCCAUUCCCCAUCCUCACUAACCACCUCCCCCCACCCUUUCCCCACCCCAUCCUAAAUAAAAAUAUUAUUAAUAUUACUUUCUUUUAUGUUAUAGAUAGAGGAUUUUUUUUCAUUUUAACAAAUGAGAAUUUUCUUUUCACGAUGUAAAAAUAUUUUUUUCAUUUUAAUAAAAAAGUACUUUCUUUCAUGAAGUAGAAAAAUAUUUUCUUUUAUUUCAACAAAAUGAUGUAGUAAAAUGUAUUUUCUUUCAUUUCAAAUAAAUAAUACAGUAAAAAGUAUUUUCUUUUAUUGCAUCAAAAAGAGUAUUAUUUUUUUUCAUGACGUAGAAAUAGUAUUUUCUUUCAUUUCAACAAAAUGAGUAUUUUCUUUUCAUGAUGUAUAAAAAGUGUUUUCUAUCAUUUCAACAAAUGAAUAUUUUCUUUUCAUGAUAUAUAAAUAGUUUUCUUUUUCUAUUUUAACAAAAAAUGUAUUUUCUUUUCAUGACGUAAAAGUAGAAUUAUUUUUUAUUUCAAUAAAAUGAUGUAGUAAAAAGUAUUUUCUUCAUUUCAAACAAAUGAUAUAGUAAAAAGUAUUUUCUUUUAUUGCAACAAAAAGAGUAUUUUCUUUUCAUGAUAUAGAAAAAAAAAAUUCUUUCAUUUCAACAAAUGAGUACUAUAAUUUCAUGUUGCAAAAAUAGAAAAAUAGUACUUUUUUUUCCAACCAAAAAAAGAAUAUUUUUUUAAAGUUAUGGAAUACAAAUUUCAAUGUUAUUUUGUAUAAAAAGGUAAAGCAACCACAUUAAUUCUUUUGGGUUUGCAUGAAUUUUUAGAAGAAUAAUUAAAUUAUUAAAGAAAAUAGAAUCAUGAAAAUGUUGGGUAUUUGGGGGGAGGAGGGAGGGGAGGAGAGCACACGAAAAAUAGGGACUUAGGGGAAGGGGGUGAGAAGAAUAUCAUAAAAAAUUAUUUUCCUAAAAAAUAUUUUCUACUCUCUAACCAAAUAUUAGAAAAUAUUUUCCGGAAAAAUAUUUUCACUCAUCAAUAAAACAAGAGAAAAUAAGUGAUAAAAUCACUCAUUUUUCUUGAAAAUAUUUUCUAUGAAAAUAUUUUUCUUUAUACCAAACACACCCUUAAUCUUAAUAUAUAAUCAAGAUCUAGAUUAAACUUAGUAAAACUUAGAACUUUCUAAAAUACCGAUAUGGUAAAUGAAAACAAAAGAAUAUUAACAAAAUCGUUUUUACAGUUCAGACAUCUUGUCCCUAAUAUCGUGCUGUCAUGUUUACACUUACACUGCGGUGCUUUCUCAGCAACUUCCAGAUUCCUUUGCCAGUAUUUUGUUUGAUUUAUUAAUUACUUGUGCCAAGGUUUGCUAAUUCCUAGAAGAACUAUAUAGUACUCUACUAUAUUUUAAUCCGGGGACAAAAAAUUUAAAAAAAAAAGAUUGAAAGAAAUUUGAUACUAAUAUCUUCAACUAUUAUGAAACUUCCAUUAGGUCAAUUGCUUAAAACGCACUCCAACCAUCUUCUUAACUAAGGAUAAAGCUAGGAGUUGGAAGGAAGGUUAUCAGCAAUGUGAGCUUGGCGAAGUACUGGGGACGCAAAUACAAUGUGGUCGACGACGGCGGACUGUAUAAGAAAGGCAGCGAGAGAGGUGUUAGGGAUAUCUACGGGCCAUAAUGGUGGCCACAAAGGAGAUUGGUGGUGGAAUGCAGUUGUCCAAGGUAAAGUGGAAGCAAAGAAGGCAGCUUACCUACGGUUAGUAGGGAGCACUGACGAGGAGGAGAAGAGAGAAAACAGUCAAAGGUAUAAGGUAGCUAGGAAGGAGGCGAAGAUGGCAGUGACGGAGGCUAAGACGACAACUUUUGCUCGUCUGUAUGAGGAACUAAGGAACAAAGGUGGGGAGAAGAAGUUAUUCCGACUCGCUAAGGCGAGAGAGAGGACAACUCGGGAUCUGGACCAAGUGAGGUGCAUAAAAGAUGAUGACGGCAAAGUUUUGAUGGGAGAUGACCAGAUUAAGAGGAGGUGACAGACCUACUUUCAUAAACUUCUAAGUGAAUAAGGGGAUCAGGAUAUUAUACUUGGGGAAGUGAGGAAUGCCGACAGUCACCAUGAAUUAAGUAAUUGUAGGGACAUUGAGAUCGAUGAAGUCAUGGAGGCAAUGCGUAAGAUGAGAAGGGCCAGAGCUACCAGGUCAGACGAAAUUCUGGUUGAACUGUAGAGGUGUGUGGGUAGAGCAGGCUUGGAAUGACUUACUGGAUUGUUUAGUGUUAUAUUCAAGACUAAUAGGAUGCCUGAAGAGUGGAGGUGGAGUACAAUGGUCCCGUUGUAUAAGAACAAAGGUGAUGUCCAGAGCUGUAACAACUAUAGGGGCAUCAAAUUACUAAGUCAUACCAUGAAAGUUUGGGAGAGAGUGGUAGAAAUGAGAGUGCGAAGGACAAUGUCUAUUUCAGACAACCAGUUCGGGUUCAUGCCGGGGCGAUCUACCACAGAAACUAUCCACCUUAUUAGGAGGAUGGUGGAACAGUACAGGGAUAGGAAGAAGGAUCUCCACAUGGUGUUUAUUGAUCUGGAGAAAGUGUACGAUAGGGUUCCUAGGGAGGUCUUAUGGAGCUGCUUAAAGGAUAAAGGGGUCCCGGUUGACUAUAUUAGGGUGAUUAAAGACAUGUAUGCUGGAUCUAAGACUCGGGUUAGGACAGUAAGAGGCAACUCUAAACACUUUCCAGUUAUUACGNNNNNNNNNNNNNNNNNNNNNNNNNCCUGCUAGUUUUUACUAUACCAACCAUCUAUUUCGUAUUUCGUAUUCUGUAUUUCAUAUCUCUUAUAUUGCUAUUAUUUUAUUAUGCAUUUUAUGGUACUAAUAUAUCGUCUCCUAUUGCUUUUUUUAGCCGAGGGUCUCCUGGAAACAGCCUCUCUACCCUUCGAGGUAGGGGUAAGGUCUGCGUACAUAUUACCCUCCCCAGACCCCACUUGUGGGAUUAUACUGGGUCGUUGUUGUUGUUGCACUCCGACCAUCUUCUUAAAUCUUGCCAACUAUCAUUAGUCUUUUUCCUUCUCUCCCAGCGACUGAGUUUGGAUUUAAAGGUUAUGGAUUUUGAACCUAAUGUUUUAUACUUCAAUGCCAUAUAAGAGGGGUGAUUUGUGUGGUAUAUAAUUUUUUGCGUGUACAAAUUAUGAAAGGACUUGGUUUUUCUACGUUUUCCGUGUACUAUAAUUGCAGAAUAGUAAAUGCAUAAAGUAAAGAACACAAGUAUUUUUACGUGAAAAAUACCUUGCUCAAAAGGAGAAAAAAUCACGACCUACUUUUCAGUAGGAUUUUUUCCAACACUCCACUAAAUCACUAAACCAAAAACAACGUUCACAAAACUUUUGUAAACCUAAAGAUUACCUCUAAUCCUUUGUGGCAACCAGCCUCAGGCUGUUGCGACAAUUUCAAGUUAACUCUAACUUGAACAAUGCACUCAAAGUACCUAGUACAAAUAUUUCUAGAGAAAAACUUAAAGGUACAGCCCAAACGCCAUACUACAAUGAAACUAGAAUAAAAUACAGAUACUUGGAACUGGUUCUUCUAUCUGGUUCAUGUAGAUUCAGGUAGGGCUGUGCAUUUGGAUCGGAUAUCCGAAAUCCGAUCUGAUCCGCUCAAUUUCGGAUUUCGGAAUUCGGAUUUUGGAUAUUUGGAUCGGAUUCAGAUUUGAUUUUUUAAAAUUUCGGAUUUUCGGAUUGGAUUCUGAUUUGUAUAGUUUGAACCCAAUCCGAUCCGAAAUCCGAAUUUAUUAGGUCUAAACAUCAAUGGCUUCUUCUUCUACUUUCUUGAGUUUCUUCUUGUUGUUUUCUUCUUUCUUUAUCUUAUGUUUUAAACUAUGUGUAGCAUAGUCAGUGCCAGCAGCGUACAUGUUUGGUGACUCCCUUGUAGACGUUGGAAAUAACAACCAUUUUGGUACAGUUAUUAAAGCUAAUUUCCCUUACAAUAGUGUUGAUUAUCCUGGUGGAAAAUCUACUAGAAGAUUUUGCAAUGGGAAAAAACAUUGCUGAUUUUAUAGGUAAUUAAGCAAACACUCAUCCUAUGUUAAUAUUUCACUACUGUACAAUCAAUGGUAGUAAUUUGUAGGUAAUUAUCCUCCUAUACAGUUCCAUCCGCAGGCAACUAUAUAAAGAAUCAUCCUACUGAUGUGCAUAAUCUGUAGGGAAGAGGUGAGGUACGUUUUGGGGGAUGGUGGGGGGAAUAAGAAGUUAGCAAAUAUUAGGAAGAUGUUUAAUAAAAUCAAAGCUUAUAUAGAUUAAAAGAGCAAACAUAUAUUAAGACUUAACUACCACUACAAUCCGAUCCGAAAAUCCGAUCACCAAACCGAUCUAAACUUUAAAAUCCGAUCCAAUCCGAUAGAAUUCGGAUCGGAUUCGGAUUGCAUUUUGUAGAAUCCGAAAUCCGAAAUUUCAAUCUGAAAUAUACUAAAUCCGAUCCGAUCCGAUCCAUGCACAGCCCUAUCUUCAGGUUCGCACACUUGAAACACACAGGAAGUGCUUGCAAAAUGCCUUGCUAUUUUGCUCCCAACUCUUGUUUAACUUCAGCAUUUGUACGUUCUUAUAAAAGGGAACAUCUUGAAAUAUAUAAAGUUAGUAGAAUAGGAUCAACUAGAGUUCUAAUGUUAUACUCUUCCAUGGUGGAAGAGUUCUAGUUAUUUUCAACUUCUAACUCCUCUUUUAUCUAAGAUAGAAUUAUUUUCAAGUAAAGAGUGAUGCUCCUUAUCAAUUAUGCAACCUUUUCGUUUAGGAGAUAUCAUAUAUAAGUACUUUUACUCAUCCCCUUCAGGUGCAUGCCUUGUGCUUGAAUCUGCCUGUGCCAUGUGUAUAUUGUGUAUGGACAUGAUUCAUGCAUGUGUUUCUUUGUCAAUUAUCAAAACAACCUUAAUUAGGACAACAAAUUUUCCCUUUUUGAUGAUGACAAAUUCUGUGCUUUUCAUAAGCAUGAAACAUGUUUCAACUCAGCUCAACGUCAACACAAUGUUAGAACAAUUUCCAUUUUAAAGUCACAAAUCAUCAAGGACCAGGUUCAUUAGGUUAUAAAUAUCACAGUCUAAAAUAAAAAAACACAACCUAUCUUUCCCCUUUUGGCAUCAUCGAAAAGUUGCAUAAUUAUAUUAGAUUACCAGAUUUUAGCAGAUCUUAUUCAUGGCCAUUUAGGCUACCUCAAAUGUAAUCAUGGAGUCGGGUAUCACUUAUCAAUCUAAGGAUAUUAGCGAUCUAAGAAACAUCAACAAACAAUUAGCAAAAGCAGUGAUUAUCAUUGAUAAGAGCCAUCCACAAAGCAUAGAAGGAAAUAAAAGUACUGCACCAUGAGCAAAAAGACAAAAGAAAAACAUCUCACUUAGGCCAUUGAUUUUCUAACUAGGCUAGGAAGGGUUUAAGGCUGGGAAGGACUAGGUUCUUGGUGUCUGGGUUGAAGCAGCUUCAACAUGUCAUGAAGAAUGCCUUCAUUCUUCUCUUUCUCAUUUGCAAGCUCAGACCUGAGAGCAUCCCUCUCAGUUUCUACUUCAGCCAGCCUCUUGUUUAGCCUCUUAAUCUCAGCAUCCUUAGACCCACUUGCACUUUCCUAGAUAUCUUGGCAGACCUGGUCCUUUUUGCCAAAGCAGAAGGCUCUGUAUCAACAGGCUUUGAAGGAGACUUCUUUUUGGAAGUUUUUCUUUUCUUCGCUUUUGGAGUCACAACCUCCACCUCUUCUGUAUCGUCUUCAUCAUGAAGGACGAGGUCCAUCUUCUCAAUCUCAAUUGCUUCAACUGGUUCACUCAUUUUCUUCUUUCCCUUUGCAGCAACUUUUCUUCUACUCACUUCUAAGGCUCUUUCAAGUUUAGUCUCGCUCUACUUCCGCUGACUCCUUGUAGCUCUUCCUCUUGUAGGAGGAGUCCCUACAAGGUUAGAAGAGGCAACCUUUCUUUUCUUGUGUGCCCUACUAGUUCCAGGGACCUUGACACCUGAACUUUUAUUCUUCUUUGGAUUGUAGCUAUCUGACACUCUUUUUAGUAGAUCUUCGAUGGGUUCCUUCAUAGCUGGAACAAGUUCUUGGAACCUCUUCCUCAGCCUAACCAGCCCCUCAGCUACACUUGCAUCCCCAAAUCCAUAACCUCAUUAUUUUCUCUAACUUUUUUCCUCCUCAACAACUUCCUUACUACAUAACGCCAUCGCCCAUGUCUCUUCAAUCAACCCAACAGCAGUAGUGCAGAUUCAAUCGCUCCUUCUUUUCCCUUUUCCCUUACAUCUCCUUAAACACCCUCACUCUCUUUUUCUUUUUUCUUUUUAUUUGUACCACUAAUUUUACCAGGCUCAAUAGUCUCUACCCCAACAAUAGUACCAACCAGAGAAAAUCUAUUCUCUAGAUUUUCAGCCAUUUCAGAAAUGACCUCAGAUGCAAUAUUUAGACCAGAGGUUACAUGUUCUUUUUCAGAUGAAAUAGUUCCCCCCCCCCCCUUAGUUGCAUACUUGAAAGAUUCUUCUGAUUUUUGGGGUUCUUCUACUUGGCUUGCUUUUAAUUGCUCAUUUAUUUUCUUGAUUUGUUCACUGCCAGCGACUGUCUUACGAGCAAGCAUCCUGAACCGUCCUUUCUUAGAGGUAAGUGUGGAUAAAGGUGUGGUCGAAGGUGUAGGUGAUGGUUCGUUGGGUGGUGAAAAAGGUUUUUCAUUGUUGUGUGUGUAGAAGAGAUAAGAGAAGAUAGAGAGAAUUUUGGCGGUUGCAAAGAUUAGAAGUGAAGAAGUCGUUAAGGCCUAAUCAAUUUAAAGAAGGAGAGUUGGAGUGGAUAACGUUUGCUUUUUGAAGUUCAGAAGUCUAAUCAGACUAGGAAAGUCAGUUUGAAUGGACGUUGGACUCUUUCCUAGAUGUGUGGGACUCCUUUUUGGUGAAACUAGUUCGUUUGUAACGGAUAGACUUGAGAGAGAUUGGGAUUAAAUGAGACUCUCCUUUUGAUCAUGAUCCAAAUACAAUUAUUUCAAAACAUACAGAGUGGAUAGUACAUACCAUAUAAUCUUGAUGAAUCAGGUUCUUCACUGAGAAUUCUCUUGUGUAAGUCUGAAUUUUCCAAGAAAAUAAAGAUAAUAUCAUUAGAGAUUAAUAAGUCAUUUUAUCACAUGGCACAAGAGUAUACUAAUGAAAGUAUGAGACUGGACAAAUCUAAUCUAAUUAUUUACGAAAUUCACAAAUUAUCUAACCAAUUAUUGACUUAGAACUGGUUCCUUUUAGGUGAUCUUAGUCAUCCUUAAUUCUAACAUGUUCCUUUCAAAGUGAUCUCUACUUAGAGCUUUUGUGAAGAUGUCAGCUAUUUGCUUGUUAGUAGCAUAUAAUUCCACAGUAAUCAAACCUUUCUUAUAGUUUUCCUUCAAAAAUUAAUGCAUAACAUCUAUGUGCUUAGUUCUUUUGUGAUGAACUCGGUUCUUGAUCAUACUAAUUGCACUGGUGUUAUAACAAAAAAUGGGGAUACAAUCUACAUCAAUUUCAAAGUCCAUUAAUUGUUGUUUGACCUAUAACAAUCGAGCACAACAUGAGACAGCAACCACAUACUCAACUUCAACAGUAGAUAAGGCCACAAAAUUUUGCUUUUUGGUGGCCCAAAACACAAGACAUGAGCUAAGAAAGUGUGUCAUAGCUAAAGUGCCAUUUCUAUCCACAAGAAAAUCUGAAUAAUCAUCAUCAGCAUAUCGUACUAAGUUGAAAUUACUAUCUUUUGGAUACCAUAGACAGAGAUCAGUGGUGCCUUUUAGGUAUCUCAAGAUCCUCUUGAAUGCUGUCAAGUGAGAUUCCUUUGGAUUUGCCUAAAAUCUAGCAUAAAGGCCUACACUGAAAAUAAUGUCAGGUCUACUAAUGGUGAGAUAUAUCAAAAACCUAAUCAUUCCCCUAUACAUCUUCUGAUCAACAAAUGAACCAGGUUCAUCUACAUCUAAUAUUGUGGUUGUUGCUAUAGAGGUGUCAAUUUCUUUGGACUCUUCCAUUUUAAACCUUUUAAGAAACUCCUUCACAUAUUUCCGUUGAUAGAUCAUAGUUCCAUUUGAUUUUUAUUUAAUUUGUAAGCCUAAAAAGAAUUUAAGCUCACCCAUCAUACUCAUGUCAAAUUCACACCUCAUUAGCUUAGCAAAUUCUUUACUUAACCUAUCUGUAGUUGCUCCAAAGAUUAUAUCAUCAACAUAUAUCUAAACUACCAAGAGAUAUUUACCUUUUUCUUUCAAGAACAAAGUAUUGUCAAUUUUACAUCUCUUUUACCCAUGCUCAAGUAAGAAGUUAUACAAUCUUUCAUACCAUGCUCGUAGAGUCUGCUUGAGCCCAUAAAGUGUCUUGUCAAGCUUGUACACAUGAUCAGGACAUUCUUUGCUUUCAAAACCAGGAGGUUGCUUGACAAACACUUCUUCCUUUAGAUAGCCAUUGAGGAAGGCACUCUUGACAUCCAUCUGAUGGAGAGUGAAUUCCAUGUAAGCAAUAAAAGCUAUAAGGAUUCUAAUUGUUUCCAAUCUUGCACUAGAGUAAAAGUCUCAUCAUAGUUUAUGCCCUCAUCUUGACUAUAUCCUUGAACCACCAAUCUUGUCUUGAUCCUUGUAACUGUUCCAUCAUCAUCAAGUUAGUUUUUGAAGACCCAUUUAGUGCCAAUUAAUGAUCUGUCCUUAGGUCUUGGUACCAGAGGCCAAACUUGAGUUCUCUCAAAUUGGUUAAGUUCGUUUUGCAUUGCAUUCACCCUGUCUGUAUCCUACAAAGCCUCGAUAAUAUUUUUAGGUUCAAUAAGAGAUAAAAAAUAUCAAAAGUACAGAGGUUCUUCAAAGAAAAUUUGGUUUUGAUUCCAAAUGUUAGAUUAGUGAUUUUGUUCCCAAUGGGAUGAGAACUUUGAUACUUGUAAGGUUUUACAAUCAGCUAGUUUCCCUUAGAUGUUCCUUCAAUAUUUUGUUGCUGAGGAACAAGUUCAUGGACAGGUUCCCUCGAGGUUUGAGGAUUAGUUCCUCUCUGUUCAGUUCUCCAUGUCAGGUUACCCUAGGUGGAAGAACUUGUUCUAUCACCUGUUCCUUCCUCUGGUGCAGCUUCGGUCUGGGGUGUGGUUUCAUUUGAGUUUCUUACUAGCACAAUUGCUUCAUCAUCUUGUUCCUGCCUCUUAGAUAGAAUGUUAGUUUCAUCAAAAAUCAUAUGUACAAUUUCUUAUACACACAUAGUUCUUUGUUAUUAAUCUUAUAAGUUUUACUAUGUGAAGAAUAAACCAAGAAUACUCCCUCAUCACUUCUGAGAUAAAACUUACCUAGGGAGUUUUUUCCAUUAUUAUGCACAAAACACUUGCAUCCAAAUGCCCUAAGGUGCGAUAUAUUUGGCUUUCUCCCUUUAAAUAACUUAUAGGGAGUCUUCUGAACAAGAGGUCUAGUCAUGCACCUAUUUAUGAUGUAGCAUACAAUGUUCACAGUUUCUGCCCACAAACUAUAGGGCAAUUUACUAGUGAGUAGCAUAGCCCUAGCCAUUUCCUCCAAUAUCCUAUUCUUUCUUUCAACUACUCCAUUUUGUUAUGGAGUCCUAAGAGCAGAAAAGUUAUGAUCUAUGCCUUGCUCAUCAUAAAAUUCAACAAAUUUAACAUUCUCAAAUUCAGUACCAUGAUCAGACCUAAUUGAUAUAAGUUGACUACCUAGUUGUUUCUGAGUUUUUCUAACAAAUGAGGUGAACAUGUAAAAUGCUUAAUCUUUAGAUGUUAAAAACAGUGUCCAAGUAAACUUAGAGUAAUCAUCAACAAGCACCAUAAUAUAUCUCUUACCACCUUAGCUCAAUGUUCUCAUUGGUCCACAAUGAUUCAUAUGGACCGGUUCCAUCUCCCUAGUAGUACUUACCAUUUUCUUGCUUUUAAAAAAGGAUAUUACCUGCUUCCCCCUAGCACAAGCCUCACAAACUUUAUUUUCCUUGGACUUAAUGUUAGGCAACCCUAUCAUCAAGUCCUUGGAGACUAGUUUGUUGAGUUGGCUUAGACUGUCAUGUCUAGGUCUCUUGUGCCAAAAGAGGGGAUUAUUGUCUAACACACUUAGCAAGUGAGUUUAUUAUCUGAUAGUGUGGACAGAUCCAUCACAUAUAUGUUAUUCGCUUUUUUUCCCUGCAAAACUAUCUUGUUAGUGGUAAGAUUAAUCACAAAGUAUUUUGUAGAGGUGAAAUUUACCAUGUUUCCUAUAUCACACAAUUGUGAUACACUUAUUAGACUGUUCAUCUAUCUAGUAGACAUUCUCAAUAGAGUGAGAAUUAGUCUUACCUACCUUUCAAACCCUAAUGAUCUCACCUUUCUUCUGUUUCCAAACAAUACAUUACCUCUUUUAAGAUCCUCAAGUGAAAGAAACUGGUUCUUGCUUCCUAUCAUGUGCUUAGAGCAGCCACUAUCCAUGUACCAUAUUUGGUUGUUUCCCUUCACUUGGACUUGCAAAAAGAAAUCAGGGGUUAGUCUUGGGAACUCAAACUAGUUUGGGUCCCUUUGUAUAGGCAAAAGGAUAAAUCAAGUUCUUUUUAGCCCAACUUGGCAACCUAUUUUGCCCUAGAACAAAAUUUGUGUUCUUUUGAUCUGCCUUUUCGUUUGCAGUGCAAUCACUCUUGUAAUGACCAGUGUUUCCACAGUGUGUGCAAAUCAUAUUCUCAGUGAGUGUAAGGUACUUGCUUUUGGGAUCCCACUUAGGUGUAGAGUUCCCAAAGCCAAGUCCUCUACUGUUGCUACUAUGAUUUUCUUGUAGCCAUGAAAGUGCAUCAGAGGACCUGUUCUAUUUACAAGUUCUGUCUAGAUCAUGCAUGACCUAUUUCAAAUCCUUAUUUAAGCCUCUUACCAGUUCAUCCCUCUUAUACAACUCAUCUUUCAUUUUUUUCUAAAGUGAGUUAUGUGUGAUCAGCUGUCUUUUUACCUGUUACUAAUUUCAAUUUUAGAUUUUUAUAUCUAAGUUCUAGGACAAUUGUAUCGAGUACAUAAUCCUGGUUCUUCAACAUAGUAUUUUCAUAUUCAGUUUCACAAGCCCUAAUUUCUAGGUUUUUGCACUUAGCUUUCAAAAUCACUCAUUUUUUUGAUAGUUGAUCUUUUUUAUUAUUCACAUCCUCAAAUUCAUCAAUUAGUUCUAGUAAUAACUCAGAUAAUCUUUCUUUAGACAAAAACUUAAUCUUGUCUUUGGGAUGACGGACACUUACCUCAAUUUCUUCAUCAGAUUCUCCAACAACCAUUAGUACGCAUUCAUCAUCAUCAUCAUCAUCAUCAUCUGAGCUUUCUCCCCAAGAAGGAACCAUAGCCUUGGUUGAUCUUUUAUUGUUGCCUUUCUUGGGAUGAACAUAUUUCUUCUUCCUGUUCAUUCGUUCAGCUCUUUCCUUCUUACAUACAAUUUCCCACAAAGGACAGUUUUUGAUCAUGUGAUUAGUCUUUCCACACUUGUAUCAGCCAUCAUUGGUUUGCUUCAUCAGAGCUCUUGCCUUAUUGUAGCUUCCACUUCUUGAAGAACCUUUUCCUCUCCUUAGGUAAUUCUUGAAGUCUUUUGUGAUCAUUGUCAUUUCAUCAUCUUCCAUAUUAGAACCUUUAGCGAUUCUGAGUGCAAACUCUUUUCCUUUAUAAGUACAUCCAUUUUCAUAGUUUAUCUUCUAAGUUCAUAGGCAGUGAGAUGAUUAAUCAAUUCAUCUAGUGGGAGAGUGGUAAUAUUCUUUGAUUCCUAGAUAUUAGUGAUCUUGCUCUCCCAAGUAAUUGGCAAUACCCUAGUGAGUAUUUUCUUAACUCUUUCUUCUUCAGGGAUAAUCCUUCCAAGAGAUUUUAGUUCAUUUGUCAAUGUAGUGAACCUUGUGUACAUCUUCUGAAUGGUUUAUCCAUCCUUCAUGGCCAAGUUAUCAUACUGAGAGUACAAAAGAGUUCCUUAUGAUUUCUUCACCUAAGUUCUUCCUUCAUGGUCCACUUGCAGUGUGUCCCAAAUUUGUUUAGCGGUGGAACUACCUUGGAUUCUGCUGUACUCAUUUGGACCAAGUCCACAAACAAGCCACUUCUUGGCUUUGGCAUUCUUUUCUCACUUCUUCAGAUCCUAAGCAUUACAAUCAGGUCUUGUCUUUGGCAUAUCUACUCCUUCAGCAUUUUUCUUCAAAGUAGCCAGUGGACCAUCAGUGACAAUGUCUCAUAGCUCGUAGUCCUCUCCAUGUAUGUGAUCUCUCAUUAUUGACUUCCACCAAGAGUAAUACUGCCAUUAAAAAGUGGUGGCCUAGAAAUAGAUUGCCCUUCCCAAUUUUCAGGUGGUGCACUCAUCUUGAUCUUCUCCUAAGGUGUUAGCCUCUUCAAGAAUAACCCGCUUUGAUACCAAUUGAUAUUUUAUACUUCAAUGCCACACAAGAGGGGGGAUGAUUUGUGUGGUGUCCAAUUUUUCAUGUGCACAUAUUAUAAAAGGACCUGAUUCUUCUAUGUAUUCCUUAUACUACAUUGUAGAAUAGUAAAUGCAUAAAGUAAAUAACACAAGUAUUAUUUUGUCGAAAACACAUGGCUCAAAAGGUGAAAAAACCACGACCUAUUUCCCAGUAGGAUUUUUCUUAACACUCCACUAAAUCAAUGAGCCAAAAACAACAUUUACAGAACUUUUAUAAACCUAAGGAUUAACUCUAACCCUUUGUGGCAACCAACCUCAAACUGUUGCGAUAAUUUCAAGUUAACUCUAACUUGAAUAAUACACUUAAAGUACCUAGUACAAAUGCUUCUCGAGAAAGCUAAAAGGUAAAACUCAAAAGCCCUACUAUAAUGAAACUAAAAUAAAAGACAGACACUAGGAACUCGUUCUUCUAUCUGGUUCAUGUAGCUUCAGGUUCACACACUUGAAACACAUAUGAAUUGCUUGCAAAAUGCCUUGUUAUUUUGCUUUUAACUCUUGUUUAACUUCAGCAUUUAUGUGUGUCUGUAAAAGAGAACAUCCUGAAAUAUAUAGAGUUAGUAGAAUACGAUCAACUAGAGUUUUAAUUCUAUACUCUUCCAUGGUGGAAGAGUUCUAGUUAUCUUCAACUUCUAACUCCUCCCUUAUCUAAGAUAGAGUUCUCUACAAGUAAGAAGUCCUGCUCCUUAUGUAAUGACCCGACCGGUUAUUUUGAGCAUUUGCACUUUGCUUGGCAGUUUACGGGCGUGAGUAGCUCCAUAUGAUGUAUUUUGACUUGUGUGAAUCUUCGAUUUUGGUUUUCAAGUUAUUCAGGGUUGAUUUGGAAGAAUGAUUCUCAACUAGGAAGCUUUAAAUUUGAAAGAGUUGACCAAGUUUGAAUUUUUAGUAUUUGACCUCAGAUUGGACUUUUGAUGGUUAUGUUAGCUCCAUUGGGUGAUUUUGGACUUAGAAGUAUGUACAGAUUGUGAUUUGGAGGCCCUCAGUAGAAUUAGGCUUGAAAUAACGAAAGUUGAAAUUUGGAAAGUUUGAUCGGGAGUGGACUUUUUGAUAUCGGGGUCAGAUUCCCAUUCCAGAAGUUAGAACAUGUCUGUAAUGUCAAAUGUACCUUGUGUGCAAAAUUUAAGGUCAAUCGGAUGUGAUUUGAUAGGUUUUGGCAUCGGUUACAGAAGUUUGAAGUUUCAAAGUUCAUUGAUUUCGAAUUGAGGUGUGAUUCGUCGUUUCGACGUUGUUAUGUAUGUUUUGAGUCCUUGAGUAGGUUCGUGUUAUGAUAUGGGACUGUUGGGAUGUUCCAGCGUGGUCCCGAGGGGCUCAGGUGUGUUUCAGAUGGAUUUUAGGCUAUAUUUCUUCAUGUUUUCAGUGCUGGUGUAUUCUCAUAUCCAGUGUGAUGUUUCUUCGUCACGAUCAAGGAAUGAGGAAUGUGAUUGCAUAAGGGAAUAAUCUGAGGCUGAGUGUUUCUCCUUCGCGUUCGCGAACAUGGGUUUACGUUCGCAUAUGUUGUGGCAGAUUGAGCAUCGUGCCCGCGUUCGCAAAGGCUUGAGGUAGUGUUGCUCGCGUUCGCGUGGCCUGUUUUGCGAUUACGUAGUGUAUUCUGGGAGGAUUGUGUUUGUUCUUCGCGUUAGAAGUGUCUUGUCCGCGUUCGCGUAGAGCCUUCUUAGGGAAGUGCAUUUUUGUUCAUCUCGAAUGCGAUGACUUUUCCACGUUCGCAUUAGAGGAUUCCUGGGCAGAUAAUAAAGUACUCUAUUUCGAGGGUUUCAGCCAUUUUUUCAUUUUGGGAGGUAUGGAGCUCAGAUUGAGGCGAUUCUUGAAGUAAUUUUCACCAUAAGAAUU
rnacentral:lncRNA from 1 species